rnacentral:rRNA from 1 species
CAAUAGCGUAUAUUAAAGUUGUUGCGGUUAAAAAGCUCGUAGUUGGAUUUCUGCUGAGGACGACCGGUCCGCCCUCUGGGUGAGCAUCUGGUUCGGCCUUGGCAUCUUCUUGGGGAACGUAGCUGCACUUGACUGUGUGGUGCGGUAUCCAGGACUUUUACUUUGAGGAAAUUAGAGUGUUUCAAGCAGGCGCACGCCUUGAAUACAUUAGCAUGGAAUAAUAAGAUAGGACCUCGGUUCUAUUUUGUUGGUUUCUAGAGCUGAGGUAAUGAUUAAUAGGGAUAGUUGGGGGCAUUCGUAUUUAACUGUCAAAGGUGAAAUUCUUGGAUUUGUUAAAGACGGACUACUGCGAAAGCAUCUGCCAAGGAUGUUUUCAUUGA